UGAGGAAUAUUGGUCAAUGGGGCGGGAGCCUGAACCAGCCAAGCCGCGUGAAGGAAGAAGGCGCCAGGCGUCGUAAACUUCUUUUGUCGGGGAACAAAGGGCGCCACGCGUGGCGUUGUGAGUGUACCCGAAGAAAAGCAUCGGCUAACUCCGUGCC
rnacentral:rRNA from 1 species